rnacentral:rRNA from 1 species
UCAGAGGGAGGUAGAAUUNCACGUGUAGCAGUGAAAUGCGUAGAGAUGUGGAGGAAUACCGAUGGCGAAGGCAGCCUCCUGGGAUAACACUGACGUUCAUGCUCGAAAGCGUGGGUAGCAAACAGGAUUAGAUACCCUGGUAGUCCACGCCCUAAACGAUGUCAAUUAGCUGUUGGGCAACUUGAUUGCUUAGUAGCGUAGCUAACGCGUGAAAUUGACCGCCUGGGGAGUACGGUCGCAAGAUUAAAACUCAAAGGAAUUGACGGGGACCCGCACAAGCGGUGGAUGAUGUGGAUUAAUUCGAUGCAACGCGAAGAACCUUACCUGGUCUUGACAUGUACGGAAUCCUCCAGAGACGGAGGAGUGCCUUCGGGAGCCGUAACACAGGUGCUGCAUGGCUGUCGUCAGCUCGUGUCGUGAGAUGUUGGGUUAAGUCCCGCAACGAGCGCAACCCUUGUCAUUAGUUGCCAUCAUUUAGUUGGGCACUCUAAUGAGACUGCCGGUGACAAGCCGGAGGAAGGUGGGGAUGACGUCAAGUCCUCAUGGCCCUUAUGACCAGGGCUUCACACGUCAUACAAUGGUCGGUACAGAGGGUAGCCAAGCCGCGAGGUGGAGCCAAUCUCACAAAACCGAUCGUAGUCCGGAUUGCACUCUGCAACUCGAGUGCAUGAAGUCGGAAUCGCUAGUAAUCGCAGGUCAGCAUACUGCGGUGAAUACGUUCCCGGGUCUUGUACACACCGCCCGUCACACCAUGGGAGUGGGGGAUACCAGAAGUAGGUAGGGUAACCGCAAGGAGCCCGC